UCCGGAGUAGCUCAAUGGUAGAGCAGCUCCCUGUUAAGGAGUUGGUUGCCCGUUCGAAUCGGGCCUCCGGAG
rnacentral:tRNA from 2 species